rnacentral:lncRNA from 1 species
GUAGGGUUUUUUAAUGGACCCCGACUGCCUGAAGCUUUCAGUUAAGUUUUGUUAUAUUAUCAAGAACUAGAUGGUUUAUAGGUUAACACUAUAUCCAAAUGUUUCAUCAAGUUGCUCAAUGUGUUUUCAUCAUUUCCCAUGCUUUUUUUUUGUGCAGUGUUAAAAUUGUACACUGCAGAAACUCUCAUUAUCAAGUAGGUGACAAGUAUUAUAAAGAUGGAAACCCUACUGCAAAAAUUUAUUUCCUGUAUGAAAGAACUAGUGUAUGAGAAGUUUUUGAGAUGUUGGAGUGAGUGGUGGCAGUGUGUUAUACUACAUUGAAUUAGAAUGUGAUUGAUGUAAUGUUGUGAAGUGGUAGGCCCAAAAGUUUGGCAAUAAUGGUAAUAAAAAAUAGGAAAAGGAUGAGAGAGCAUCUUGUGGACUACUUUGUUUAGUAUUUUCUUCUGAAGGUGGAGUAUCUAUGUGGCUGUCUUCGUGUUGAGGUUUCUUUCCUGACAUGUUGUGGCCAUAGUAUAUGAACAGUAGAAAUCCUUGUUCACCAUGCGAGCAAACUUUUUCUGUCCAGUCAGCUUAAGUAUUUGUGGGCAGAGUUAUUCAGUAUUUGUGUUGUGUAGGCGGG